rnacentral:rRNA from 1 species
UACGAGGGGGGCAAGCGUUGUUCGGAAUUAUUGGGCGUAAAGGGUGCGUAGGCGGUUUGGUAAGUCUUAUGUGAAAUCUACAGGCUCAACUUGUAGUCUGCAUGAGAAACUGCCGGGCUUGAGUAUGGGAGAGGUGAGUGGAAUUCCUGGUGUAGCGGUGAAAUGCGUAGAUAUCAGGAGGAACACCUGUGGCGAAAGCGGCUCACUGGACCAUAACUGACGCUGAUGCACGAAAAGCUAGGGGAGCAAACAGG